GGCCUAACACAUGCAAGUCGAACGGCAGCACAGGAGAGCUUGCUCUCUGGGUGGCGAGUGGCGGACGGGUGAGGAAUACAUCGGAAUCUACUUUUUCGUGGGGGAUAACGUAGGGAAACUUACGCUAAUACCGCAUACGACCUACGGGUGAAAGCAGGGGAUCUUCGGACCUUGCGCGAUUGAAUGAGCCGAUGUCGGAUUAGCUAGUUGGCGGGGUAAAGGCCCACCAAGGCGACGAUCCGUAGCUGGUCUGAGAGGAUGAUCAGCCACACUGGAACUGAGACACGGUCCAGACUCCUACGGGAGGCAGCAGUGGGGAAUAUUGGACAAUGGGCGCAAGCCUGAUCCAGCCAUACCGCGUGGGUGAAGAAGGCCUUCGGGUUGUAAAGCCCUUUUGUUGGGAAAGAAAUCCAGCUGGUUAAUACCCGGUUGGGAUGACGGUACCCAAAGAAUAAGCACCGGCUAACUUCGUGCCAGCAGCC
rnacentral:rRNA from 1 species